GAUAGAAAUAGGCGUUGCACAGUAUUUACAGUUAUAUAUUAGGCAAUUAUUAUGCUAGUAGUGAUUGCUAUUACACACCACGGGGAUCUUAAUGGUGGGCACGAGCCUGCGUGAAAAAUGGAUUUGGUCGUAAGAGCGUGAGAAAUGGGGCAAUUCCGUGUGCCAUGCCAUGUAGGAGUAUUUUCUCAAGGCCUGCGACUGAGGGUCAUAUUUCAAUUCAAAGGUUGACAGCGUCAGACAGUUUUUGGAGGAGGGCUCAGCGUUGGAUGCCAGAUUCAAGUCAAAAGUGUCAGAUGAAGUGUGGUACAGACUGGAGGAGGAGCUGAUAUAAAUGAACAGGCUCAGGGCCAGCAGAUGAAUCAGGGGCUUAAAGAGAGAGCAGAUGACCAAGGUGACUGCAUAUAUGAUGAAGACAUCUGUGAAUCUGCCAGUGAAACAGUGAAGAGGCCAAAGCUCUCUGCCCCCGAGAAGCUGUUUGCUGUAGAGAACAUGGAAAUAAAAUGCUUUCAUAAAACAUCAUAAGGUGGAAACUGUUGGACAGUUAGGACAGGCUAUGAACUCUGAGAUGGCAAAGAGAAAGGAGACAUAAGCCUGCCCCAAUCCAAAUUUAUGCUUUGAUUUUAUAUCUGAAGUCUAGUAUUUGUUGCUGGCUGGAUUCAUGUUGUUAAUGUGCAGUUAAUGGAUAUACUAUAUAUGUGCUUAACAUAUAUAUUAUGUGCAUAAAUGUAUACCCCAUUGUUUGUAAAAUCUGAUUUUAGUGCCCACUGAUUUAUUGGGGGAGUGUGAUGAAAA